GUUUGUUGGGGGCCCUAUGUGUUGGAACACCCGUACGUUUUCUGCCAGUGCUGGUGGAGGAGCAUUUUGCAAUGGUCAGAGAAUUCAUGUGAGUCAUACGGAUCAGGUGGAGCGAUCUCUUCUAGUCACAGGUUUUGGAUAUGAACAUGAUAAUCCCUGGGCUACCAAUAUGGAGUUAUUCAAGCACUUCACUGACGUUAGUAGGGGUGUCAGGAGACUUGGUGCUGCAGCAGUGGAUAUGUGCCAUGUAGCACUGGGGAUUGUAGAAGCAUACUGGGAAUAUCGUCUAAAACCAUGGGAUAUGGCUGCUGGCGUUUUGAUCGUUUGGAUGAUGGCUCCAAAAAACUUUUGGCCAGUUGAAGUGCGCCAUAUGAUCUGGGAGAAGAUAACAUCCAUCAUGGUCGCCAAGAGCAUUAUGGCGAUAGUCUCUAUGCUGAAAAAAGGGAGCAGUCUCAUUAACAUGAUUCAGGUAAUAGUGGUGUGAAUCUGGUUCAGACUUCAACAAAAAUGUGCACUGUAGACAGAGAUGAAGAAAGGAGAGAAGACGGAAUAUGAGGGAAGUCAAGAGAGCAGAACAACACAUAACUUAGAUCCCUUGGCAGUGUUAUGCAUCUCUAAUGAGAGCAGACAAGACUGGGUUUGGCAAGAACGUUGCAGCCUGCAUCAGAUGAUAGUAGAAGAAGCUGGUGGCACAGUUACUCAAAUGGACGGUGGAAAAUUUUGUGUAUUUGAUAGAUCUGUUUUGGUGUCAAAUGGUGCUCUGCAUGCCAAGCUUUUGGAGCGAAUCGGGCCUGCAACAGAGAAACUGAAAAAUGAAGGAAUUGAUUUCUCAUUAUGGUAUAAGCCAGAAAAUUAUCGCACAGACUUUUAGUGUGUCCAAGAGUUCUUUUUCUACUCUUAAGUUCUCCACAGCAAGCAGGUGCUGUCUACUCCUCUUGCAAAGGUGUUUGCCUUUCUUUUAAUUUUUUAUUCAUCCAAAUGAACCAAGUCAUGCAUAUAGAAAUUUCUUGCUUUCUUAACAUAAAGGGAAGUAGACAAUCUUCAUCUGUGUUAAGUAAUUCACAGUAUAGUUGCAAAUAAUGAGUUCUGUUCUUUCCUUUCAUUUCUCA